GAUGAACGCUGGCGGCGCGCCUAACACAUGCAAGUCGAACGGCACCCCUCCUCGGAGGGAAGCGAGUGGCGAACGGCUGAGUAACACGUGGAGAACCUGCCCCCUCCCCCGGGAUAGCCGCCCGAAAGGACGGGUAAUACCGGAUACCCCGGGGUGCCGCAUGGCACCCCGGCUAAAGCCCCGACGGGAGGGGAUGGCUCCGCGGCCCAUCAGGUAGACGGCGGGGUGACGGCCCACCGUGCCGACAACGGGUAGCCGGGUUGAGAGACCGCCCGGCCAGAUGGGAACGGAGACAGGGACCGGACCCCAAGGGGAGGAGGGAGGGGGAAUUCUGGCGCAAGGGGGGGAACCCUGACGCGGCGCCGCGGGGGGGGGGGGGGAGGCUGUGGGGUCAAAAACGGUUUUCAGAAGGGAGGAGUAAAGACUGUACCUGAAGAAGAAGCCCGGGCAAACUAGGUG
rnacentral:rRNA from 1 species